AUCGGUGACAGGUGGUGCAUGGUUGUCGUCAGCUCGUGUCGUGAGAUGUUGGGUUAAGUCCCGCAACGAGCGCAACCCCUACGUUUAGUUGCUAACGCGUGAAGGCGAGCACUCUAGACGAACUGCCGUUGACAAAACGGAGGAAGGUGGGAUGACGUCAAAUCAUCAUGCCCCUUAUGUUCUGGGCUACACACGUGCUACAAUGGCCGGUACAGACGGACGCAAAGCCGCGAGGUGGAGCAAAUCCUAAAAAGCCGGUCUCAGUUCGGAUUGCAGGCUGCAAUUCGCCUGCAUGAAGUCGGAAUCGCUAGUAAUCGCAGGUCAGCAUACUGCGGUGAAUACGUUCCCGGGCCUU
rnacentral:rRNA from 1 species